CCCCAGCAUUCUAGAGCCAAACAUUGACAUCAACCCACAAUUCUAGGCUUGUUCCAAGUCGGCUGGAACUCUCUGGAGGUGAUGGUGCUUCUUGCUCCUGUCCUGCCCUGGACUCUCACCGUCUCUGGGCUGGGCCAGGACCUGGGUCUGGGCUAUGAUCCCAGCCUGAGUGGCAGGCCAGCAUCUCUCUCCUCCCUGCUGCCCUGGCUUCUGAGCCUUCGCUGAUUGGCCAAGUGGAGUGAGAUGUCCCUCCUCCUGACUCCCACAGCUCUCCCUUGGCUGACAUCAUCUGAACUCUGACUGUUUCUGUCAGCUCCAGCUGCUGUUACAAUAGGCCAAGGAUGAGGGGGCUGAAGGGGUGAUCGGGAGAGAUGAGAGUGUUAGGCAGCAGGGUUUUUUGUUUGUUUGUUUGUUUGUUUUUCCUUACAACGGGCAGAUCUGGCUCCCAUCCUGACUCAUCAUCCUGGCUUACAGACUCAGUCCCUCCAGGCCUGUGACCUUAGCCUAACUGGACCAUCCCCCGAGAGACAACCACUGUCCGCUGUGGGGCCUCACAUCUCCUCCUCCGUUGUGCCAGUGAGGAGACAGCCAGCUCUAAUCUUUUCCUUCUUUGUAAGGGCCCUAUUCCUGUUAUGGUAGCUCUACCCUCAUCUAAUCCGAAUCACCUCUCAGAGACUCCAUCUAGAGAACCUUUGCUUUGAGAUUUGGGGUCUCAAGGUGUGAAAUUGGGUAAACAUUUAGCCCAAAGCAGAAACCAGCCAUGAACUCCUGAAGAGAGAUGGAUGUGCUGGGGGUCAGCACAGGGGACUGCCGUGAGGUGGGAAGGACAGUGGUGUGUCACCCAGGAUUCUCCAUGGGAACAGGACAUGCUAGGGUUUGAAUUGGAAAUGUCUCCUACUGGCUCAAGUUUUGAGCCAAUUUGCCCCGCAGCUGGUUACCCUGUUUUGAGAGGCCGAGGAACCGUUAGGAGGCAGGGUCUACCUGGUGGAAACGGGUCACUAGGAUCGGGCCUUUGAUUCCUGCCUGCUACCUCCCUUCUUGGGUCCACCAUGAUGUGAGGAGUAUCCAGCACACAUUCCCACUGACACUGUGUCCUGGCUUAGGCACACAGGGCAAUAGUGGACUCAAACUGUGCCAGGCAAACAUCCCUUCCCUUGCACUGUCCCUAUCAGGCAUUUUAGUCACUGUGACAUAAAAGCAGCCAAUACGGUGCAUGUAUGCCCCGUGCCACCUAACAAUUGUCUAGUCCACGACGGGGCAUGUGCACAAUGGUGGCUGUACCGUACAGUCUGAGUGUGUAGCCAGUCGUUUUGGGCAAGAAGAUGCUGUAAUAUUUGCACAAGGACACAGUCUCCUAAACGAUGCAUUUGUCAGAAUUGAUCAUCAUUAUCAGUUGACAUGUAAUGUGGGAUUGGCUGGUACAAUUGUGGGAAUGGCAACUCCAAACACCAAGGGGCAGGGCAGGGCAGGGCAGGCUGGAGCUGCCCGGUCACAGUCUUCAGCAGAAUUCCCAUUUGAGUGAUGGGAUGAGGUCAUUCACGACAACAGAGCCCUUUCCUUCGCUUCUGGGAAACUCACUAAAGAUGAAGACCUCUACAAAACCACUUAGAAAAACCUAGAUUCCUGUUUGAACGAACAAUCCUGCCCAGUAACCCACUCAUGCUGCCUUGGAACCAACCAUCACAGCUUGGCUCAGAUUUUGGCUCCAGCCUCGCUAGUGGCAAUCCAUUCAGUAUAUUUGAAUCUCAUCACUCCCAGGAGGCUGCUGAGAAGCGCAACGGAGGGCGUGAGUAUCAGGUCACCCCCUGCUUGCCUGUCACUGCCGACACUGUUCGGGAAUGUCACCAGCAGCUGGAAGGCAGUCCAAACCUCCGCAGUGAUCAAGGGAUUGAUGGUCUCUUGACAUGUUUGCACAGAAGGCUCUGGCCACUGCCAGGCAGCCUGUCACUAAAGGCUCUGGAUUGAGGUUUUUCUAGCAUAGAUCAGGCCUGCCGGCUUCAGGCCCCAAGCCCACAGCCGGAGCAUGCCCAUACCCUUCCCAGGAAGUAGCCAGGCUGCUCCCAAGGGUCCCAGCUGCUCCAGCCUAGGCAGGGCCCUGCCUGGUUUUCUAUUCCCAAUGCUCUUGCCGCAGGGAUCUUCUGUCAGGCACAGUUCCACCCAGGCCUUGUGACCUCAGCUUGAAUGGGCCAUCAUCUCCUUGAGGACAACUUGUAUCCUCAGACCCAUAGCAGCCAUCACCCCUUCAUAUCAGGUCGCCCCAUGUCCUGAACUAUCGAGGAACUUCUUGAAAGCAGAAAACCCUGUGGGCCCACAUAGGGCUUAAGAUGGAGGAUGACGCUGCAUCUGGGUGGACCUAUGAACGACACCAUCUAUCCAGAACCACCCAUGUGGUACGGAGUGAUACACGGCUUCCUCUUGGGAGCAGACAGAGAGCCACUGCACAAAUUUAUCAAGCCGCAGAAGCAUCAGAAUUUUAAUAGACUUGGGCCCCGGAGCCCAACAGCAAAGCAUCGCAAUGCACAUGCGGAUGGGAGGUGCAGAGCCUCGUGAGAGCGUGGGGUCUGCAAGCCGAUGGGCUCCAGCUCUGCCUGUGCACAGUGAGAAGAAAUGGAAGAAUUAUUGCCGUUGAGAGUUCAGGACUGGAUGGAGCCAGGCGGCUGCUUGGGAACGGGCCUGCUUUCAUGGAGAUGUUCACUCACAGGUCCACCGCAUGCUGUCACCUCCACACUCACGCUGACUGAUGUCGUGCCAAGUCUACUAUGUCGAUGUCGAUGACGACGACGACGAUGGAACAAGUGACAGUCACCAGAAGAUGCUUGUGGUACCCACAGACCAGCUGAGCCCUCCCUUUGCUAAUCAUGGCUUUAACCACUUUGGGAUGUGCCAAGAGCCUUUCAGUUAGGAAAGGGACUACUAGAUACAGGAAUGUUAGGAGGGUAUAAUGUCUUAGAUUUCUGACUGUAUAAUUGGAGGACUUCAAAUGGACCCAAUACAAU